rnacentral:rRNA from 1 species
UACGUAGGGUGCGAGCGUUAAUCGGAAUUACUGGGCGUAAAGCGUGCGCAGGCGGAUGUUUAAGUCAGAUGUGAAAUCCCCGGGCUUAACCUGGGAAUGGCAUUUGAUACUGGGCAUCUAGAGUGCGUCAGAGGGGGGUGGAAUUCCACGUGUAGCAGUGAAAUGCGUAGAGAUGUGGAGGAACACCGAUGGCGAAGGCAGCCCCCUGGGAUGACACUGACGCUCAUGCACGAAAGCGUGGGGGGCAAACAGGAUUAGAUACCCUGGUAGUCCACGCCCUAAACUAGGUCAACUAGUUGUUGAGGACGUAAGUUCUUAGCGACGAAGCUAACGCGUGAAGUUGACCGCCUGGGGAGUACGCCCGCAAGAUUG